UACGUAGGGUGCAAGCGUUGUCCGGAAUUAUUGGGCGUAAAGAGCGUGUAGGCGGCCCGAUUAGUCCGCUGUGAAAGUCCAGGGCUCAACCCUGGAAUGCCGGUGGAAACUGUCGGGCUAGAGUCCGGAAGGGGCGAGUGGAAUUCCUGGUGUAGCGGUGAAAUGCGCAGAUAUCAGGAGGAACACCAAUGGCGAAGGCAGCUCGCUGGGACGUGACUGACACUGAGGCACGAAAGCGUGGGGAGCAAACAGG
rnacentral:rRNA from 1 species